AUCUUUCUAGUAUUAAAUUAAUACAAGUGACUUCCAAUCAUUUAAUCUUGGUUAGAUCCCAGGGAAAGAUA
rnacentral:tRNA from 1 species